CGCAAUGGGCGAAAGCCUGACGGAGCAACGCCGCGUGAGGGAUGAAGGCCUCUGGGCUGUAAACCUCUUUUCUCAAGGAAGAAGAUCUGACGGUACUUGAGGAAUAAGCCACGGCUAAUUCCGUGCCAGCAGCCGCGGUAAUACGGGAGUGGCAAGCGUUAUCCGGAAUUAUUGGGCGUAAAGCGUCCGCAGGCGGCCUUGUAAGUCUGUCGUUAAAGCGUGGAGCUUAACUCCAUUUCAGCGAUGGAAACUACAAGGCUUGAGUGUGGUAGGGGCAGAGGGAAUUCCCGGUGUAGCGGUGAAAUGCGUAGAUAUCGGGAAGGGACACCAGUGGCGAAGGCGCUCUGCUGGGCCAUACCCCUUCCUGGGUCGUGGACGUAA
rnacentral:rRNA from 1 species